AGGUAAAACAGUCAUCUCCAAUGGUUGUUGUGCUGCCCAGUUCUUCUUCUUCACUAUCUGUGCAGGUACAGAGUGUUUCCACAAACACCUUCUCUCUCUCAUUCUGUGAAAAUCGGAUCAAUUUUUUUCUUUUAUGACCUCGCACCUCUGCUGAAGCUGGCCUGUAGUGACACAACAAAUGUUGAAAUUAUCAUUGUUUUCUUUGGGAAUUUUGUAAUUUUGGCCAGUGCCUUAGUUAUCUCAUUCUCUACCUGCUCAUUAUCAAAGCUGUCAUGACAAUGAAGUCUUCAGGUAGAAGAGCAAAGACUUUCUCAACAUUUGUCUCCCACCUCACUGCUGUGGCUCCUUUUUGGGGACACUUGGCUUUCUGUACAUACGUAGUGGUUCAAAAAGAUCCCUGGAAGAAGAUAAGGUUGUGUCUGUCUUCUACACUGUGGUCAUUCCCAGGCUGAACCCACUUGUCUACAGCCUAAGGAACAAGGAUGUCAAGGCUGCAUUCAAGGUGACUGGUAAAUGCCAGGUUUCCCAAUGCACACAACACUGA
rnacentral:lncRNA from 1 species